AAAAUUUGACAGCUCCGAAAUUUCACCAUCAUCCGACGAAAUCGGGUACCUUCCAAGUCGACCUAUUUUUUCACCGACGACGUCGAUUACCGUAGGCUACAUAUUUUCGUCGUCAGAUUUAUUGAACGAUUAAGUCGCGAGCAAUCGGUUGCCUAUUUAAUCGGUUAAAUAUUCGAUUGAUUGUUUAUUUGGUGUUUAUUUUGAUCGUUUGAUUGAUAUACAGAUGAAAUCGGAUUCCUGUGUUCAUAAACAUAGAAUAAACAAAGUAAGUAUAUGAUAUUUAAUUAUUGAAAUAUGACCUUAUUUGUAAGAUUUUCAGAUCGAGACAUAUUCAAGAAUGUUCCGGAACAUCAAGGAAGACCGGAUAAUCAAGGUGAAAGAAAUGAAAAUUUGUUUGGUGUGCUCAUUUGUAUCGGAAUUGCCUACAUUGGCAUGUAUGUAAAAAGAAAAAUGGCUAUCUAAGAAGUUGGAGAACGAUGGUAACACAGGGGAGGUUAGAAAUGCCGAAUACCCUAUAUUGAAAUUCCAAAAGAAUCCGGUGCUAUGAUACCCAGUAGUCCUAGUAAUGUAAGUCUUUCAUAUACUGCACUCAAUCAAGUAAAAUUUUAUUAAAUAAUCAAUUAUUUUCAGCUACCAACCGAUAAUCUUCUAAACCAAAGUCCAUUUAAUAUCUCGACCUGGACAGAUUCAAGUACUGUCACACAUGCCAUCCGUUUUAAUAAAUCGAUUAAACCCUCGAUUUGGUUUGUUUUCAUUAUGUUCCAUGCCGACUAAUCUAUGGAUUUAGUCGGUUCUGCUCUAUGAUAAAAUUCAAUAAACAGAUUAAACAC